rnacentral:tRNA from 1 species
GGACAAGUAGCUCAAUAGGCAGAGCUUCUGAUGUUGGAAAAGAGUAGUCCAGCGAAACUCUUUGAUGUCAGUUCGAAUCUGACCUUGUCCA